rnacentral:rRNA from 1 species
CUGAAAUUCGCCUUCAUGAAGCUGGAAUUGCUAGUAAUGGCAGGUCAGCAUACUGCCGUGAAUACGUUCCCGGGCCUUGUACACACCGCCCGUCACACCAUGAGAGUUGGAAGUACCCGAAGCCUGUGAGCUAACUUAAAGAGGCAGCAGUCGAAGGUAGAGCCAAUGAUUGGGGUGAAGUCGUAACAAGGUAAC